CGUUCGUGCUAUACGUUAGAAAAACGAUAUGGUUCGCGGUCUGAGCGCCGCGUUUGCGUCAAAUGUACGUUCGCGGAGUGCAAACGUUCACGAAACGCCCGUGUGAGGUUGACGUAAUGAUGAGCAUUGACAAAAAAUAUUUAAAGUCAUCUUUUUUCGAUGAACAAAUAGCUCACGGAAUAUUGCAACAUCAAUUCAAAAAAGCAAUACCAGCAUACCUACUUAAUACGUAAUACUUUUAAUUACACGUGUCUAAUACUUACUCAGAAUUAGGUACCAUACAUAUUUCGUCCGUUGAAGCCCUCGUACGUUUGAACCUCAAGAUAUAUUUCAGAAUUACUGUGAUUUACCAAAAAGCCUACUUAUUAAAAAUUAAGUAGAAGAUCCACGAUCUGCACCGAUACACAGAGGAAGUUAUUUCAACAACUUACAACAAAAAGUCAAAAAGGGAAUCGCUCUCUUGCUGCGAUUCAUGAGUGAAAAUUCAAGAAAGUACUAUUAAAGUCAACGAUCACUCUCGAGAUACGAGGUGACUACCAUUCUUUAUCGACUUGAAGCUAGCCAGAUGACGAGUUGAUGUAGACCCUUAAAUGAUUAUACUCGGGUUGAACUUAUAAUCAUCUUUAAGGACUCUCCACAUCGACGCUACUCGCGCAGUCGAAGAGCUCCUGAUUUCCUGCUUCAAAUAAUUGUAUGUAACUACUUUUAAUUUAUCUCUCUCUCUCUGUCUGAUUAAGAGAAAGCCUGUGCCCAGCAGUUUAUGUUAAGUUAUAAUAUUAAUUAGUAUUUAGAUCGCCUUAUAGUCUAUAGGUUUUACUCAAUUCGUCUCAUAAUUAAAACAAUAUCACAAAAGUGUCUUUAUAGAUUUUGGUAGGAAGGUUCUUUUUUUUUGAACCAUUUUCGAUUUUAUUUAAAAUGGGUUACUGCUCUGUGUGUAAUGUUAAUGUUAAUGGAAGACAGUGGACUGGACAUUUCCGUAGCAGUAAGCACAAAAAUAAUUGUACUGCUCCGCUUUAUGAUAACGUAGAGAUCAUAACAUCCGCUUUUAAAGGACGUAUAGUAAGUUAUCGAAUUAUUGCAUCUAAUGAAGAAGCAAAAAACUUACCUUCUUUAUUUUUAAACAACAUUCGUAAACAAAUUAGAUCUCUUGUAAAUCACGCCUUACAAG